rnacentral:lncRNA from 1 species
GUGAUGAUGGAGGCAGAGAUUGAAGUGAUGCAGCCAUCUAGCCCAGAAACAACAAGGACUGCCAGUGGCCACUGAAGGCUAGGAGAGAGGAAGAGAAUAGAUUCUUCAGAAGGGAUCAGCCCUUCUGACCCCUUGACUUUGGAUGUCUAACCUCUAAAAGUAACCAGCCAACGAUGGGCAGGGAUAGCCAUGGACCUUCUGCACAAGUUCAAGGCUGCAGAAUCUGCACGAUAUGAACAAGGGACCCAGCACAUCACCACCUUCUGCUAGUUAUGCAAUGCUCUCCAUCCUACAGGACUCACAUCCA